UUUGAGAACUAUUAAUAAUGAAAUAAAAGGGGAUUGCAGUGAUGACUCCAUAAAAUUCAAGCUCAACAGACCGGAUUGCAGGUUUUUCUCAGUGGAGAAAAUUAUUUGCGUGUCGAUACACCCGCUGAGCUGAGCAAUCUCUUUUAAUUUUAUCAAUUCUCGAUUUUGGGUUUUAAAAUUUUCGAAUUUGAAUGUUUUUGAUUUAUACCGCCACUACUGAGUAAUGUUUCGAAGGAUUGCAAUGAGGAUAACAAGCUCCCUCUUCUGAAUUAAGCUGAGGACAAUUGUUGGCUGAAUCGAACCUAAUUAUAAUCGCCACUACUGAGGAAUCUCUCUGUAACCAAUUUUCCCCUUGUUUAAGCCAUAAUAGCUAAUAAUUAUUUAUGAUUAAUGAUUUGAAUCUCUGAAUCUUUAAACUCAAUCCUGAUUGUACUGUCUGGAGUAUAAACUCCUACUCUGCUAGCCAUAAGGCAACAUUUUUAGAGUCGCUGAUGCGUUUACACUGCAAUAGCGACAUCAGUGCUGUAUGUUUCCGAAAGUGAACCUUUGUGCUGAGAUUUUUGCACUAAUUGCUGUUCAACUAGCGAUUUAACGCAUUGAAGCUCAAACAUACAAGUCUUUAUUCAUGAUAAUUACAAUUGUAUAUUCUGUUUUUUAUAUUUUACAUGAUUAGAAAUUUAGCACAUAUAGUUAAAUGAUUCUUCAGGUCUCUGUUAAUGGUUUAAGGGGUUACUUUUAUUCUAUAUGAUAACAGAUAUGAAGCAUCAUCUUUAUGAAUCUUCAUGUCUCUUAAUUUCUGCAAUUCUGAGGAGUAUAAUUUAAUUAGAACGGUGGUGGUUGUUUUCAUGUCUUCUGCUGUGUGUGUGAUUUGAAAAGGGAACCUUUCAAAUGUUGCAAGUUUCUUUUUUUCCUUUUUUGGUCUGAGCCACGUUGACGAUAGUCAAAAAGACAAUGACCGUCAAUGCUAUGAUUAGACCUACACAAAUUUCAUGUUUCGCAUCUUGAUAGGAAUAUGUGCACUGAUUUGUCCUUCAUUUACAGAGCCAUUUGUGUGAUUACAUUUUCUUUUGAAGUUCAUGUUCAUAGUUGUGAAGAUUUAGUGACUGCCUGUGACGAUCAAAACUUAUUUGGAAUUACCGUCUGAUUUCUUUGAUGUUAACCUUUGGCUGUUUUUCUGAGGCAAUCUAAAUCAAAGUUAAAAAUCUUUUUUGUACGUCUGUUUGUUCUGUACAUUUUAUUUUUGAUGGGGAUGGUAAACGUAGGAAAUUAAGUUCUCGUAGGAGUUCCAUGGUUGUUUGUACAGUCUCAUAUUAGUUCUGUGAUUCUUUGUUUUGUAUUCACCGGCCAUUUCAAUUUUCUUCUCAUCUUUUUUGGGUGUGUUUGUCCGAGUUUUUGCUUUUAUUGAUUGUGUAGGUUUCCAUGGGACAAAUGGUUUCUUAGUCACAUGUGUUCGUAUGCUUGUUCUUUUGUAAUAAUAAUAAUAAUAUGUGGUAAAUCUUAUGACUUAUUCAAUAUUAGUUUGUCUUUUGAUGGGGGAGGUUUGGCAAAAAUCUCUCUUUCACUGAUUGGAGCAAACAAGUUAUGUUUGUAAAAUCCUCCGUAAACGUCACACAUUAAGACUGAUAUGUUGACGGUUGAAAAAUCUCCAUUUCGGGCGGUCUCAUAUUCCAUUGCCUUGGGGAGCUGCGUUGUGGCCAUUACCUCUUGGGACUGGCCAUGAGACAUAUAUUUCUUUUGUGUUGAUCUUCGUAACAAAUAGUGAUCUUGAUUUAUGUUUUGCUACCGAGCCUAUGAGGAUAUCUGAUUUAAAGAACACCAUCUUUCGGGACUGAAUGGCUUAACGCCUUGGUGACAAAUUCUGCAAUUCUGAGGCUCAUAAAUUUUGUUGCUGGGAGUCCAAGUUCAUCGCAAGGAUAUCAAGGGAAGCAAGCUAAACAGGUAGGCUUACACUGGAAGAAGCUCUGAUUUGGGCCGAGGAUGUAGGCCUACACGAGGUUGAGCUGGAAGGAGAAAACCACUUUCGUCAGAGGAAAGAAGACCAGCGUUCACUGGCACUCGUUUUCCAGUCAUAUCUAAGGAAUGAAGACCAGUGCUGUAUGUUUGCCGAUAAUGAACCUUGAGCUGAGAUUUUUGCACUAAUUGUUGUUCAACUAUUGAGGCUCAAACAUACAAGUCCUUGUGAUGACAAUUGUAUAUACUAUCUAUUGCAUUCUACAUGUUUCUCAUCAUGGUAUAUAUAAGGGAUUACUUGUA